CGCCCACUCACCCGCGACUCCGCACAGGAGCACGAAACGCAGCAGAAGCGCCAUGGUGGCGGCCCAGCUGUGGGCGACGACUGCAGAGCACAGGCUCCGGACGCGCAGGUCCAGCGGCCAUGGCUCACGGGCCCAGCCGCUCCGCGUCAUGUGGGAUCCUCCCGGACCAGAGCACGAACCCGUGUCCCCUGCAUCGGCAGGCGGGCUCUCAACCACUGCGCCACCAGGGAAGCCCCUGCCUUCAUUCUUAAAAGAAGAGCUAAAGGAGGAAUUCCCAGGUGGCACGGUGCUUAAGAAUCCACCUGCCAAUGAAGGGGACACGGGUUUGAUCCCUGGUCCGGGAAGAUCCCACAUGCCGCGGAGCAACUAAGCCCCUGUGCCACAACGACUGAGCCCGUAUGCCGCAACUACUGAAGCCCACGCACCUAGGACCCGUGCUCUGCAACAAGAGAAGCCACUGCAAUGAGAAGCCCGCACACCACAAUGAAGAGUAGCCGCCGCUCGCCACAACUAGAGAGAGCCUGUGCACAGCAACGAAGACCCAACACAGCCAAAAAUAAAUCACUAAAAUAAAUACAUUUAAAAUAAAUAAAUAAAAGAACUAAAAACAUUUUCACAGGCCCUGGAUAAGUUGGCACUGGGCAUUGCUUCUCUCUCCCUCUCUCUCU